UACGGAGGGUGCAAGCGUUAUCCGGAUUCACUGGGUUUAAAGGGUGCGUAGGUGGGCAUGUAAGUCAGUGGUGAAAUCUCCGGGCUUAACCCGGAAACUGCCAUUGAUACUAUAUGUCUUGAAUACCAUGGAGGUGAGCGGAAUAUGCAUGUAGCGGUGAAAUGCUUAGGAUAAUGACAUAGAAACACAAUUGCGAAGGCAGCUC
rnacentral:rRNA from 1 species